rnacentral:rRNA from 1 species
UGGGGGAUAUUGCACAAUGGGGGAAACCCUGAUGCAGCAACGCCGCGUGAGUGAAGAAGGUCUUCGGAUUGUAAAGCUCUGUUCUUGGUGAAGAUAAUGACGGUAGCCAAGGAGAAAGCUCCGGCUAACUACGUGCCAGCAGCCGCGGUAAUACGUAGGGAGCGAGCGUUGUCCGGAUUUACUGGGUGUAAAGGGUGCGCAGGCGGCUCUGCAAGUCAGGCGUGAAAGCUAGGGGCUCAACCCCUAAACUGCGCUUGAAACUGUGGAGCUUGAGUGAAGUAGAGGCAGGCGGAAUUCCCGGUG